rnacentral:rRNA from 1 species
GUUUUUUUUCAAUUAUAGAAAUCGUGCAUACAUUUAUAUUCCACAUAUACUAUGGUACCGGUACUAUAUAUUGUAUACGUACUUCUUGGUCAAAUUAGAGGAAGUAAAAGUCGUAACAAGGUCUCCGUUGGUGAACCAGCGGAGGGAUCAUUGCUGGAACGCGCCCCGGCGCACCCAGAAACCCUUUGUGAACCUACCAUCGUUGCCUCGGUGCAGGCCGGUCCCCACGGGGGCCCCCUCAGCGAUGAGGAGCAGCCGGCCGGUGGCCCUACAAACUCUUGUCUGUGUAGUGACCCUCUGAGUGAAGACUAAAUUAAUCAAAACUUUCAACAACGGAUCUCUUGGCUCUGGCAUCGAUGAAGAACGCAGCGAAAUGCGAUAAGUAAUGUGAAUUGCAGAAUCCAGUGAAUCAUCGAAUCUUUGAACGCACAUUGCGCCCUCUGGUAUUCCGGAGGGCAUGCCUGUUCGAGCGUCAUUUCAACCCUCAAGCCCGGCUUGGUGCUGGGGCCCUGCCUCCCCCCGGGGGGCAGGCCCUGAAAUACAGUGGCGGGCUCGCCAGGACUCCGAGCGCAGUAGUGUCAAAACCUCGCCCUGGAUCGUACUGGUGCGGCCCUGCCGUGAAACCCCCAACCUCUGAAAAGUUGACCUCGGAGCAGGUAGACUGCUAGUAUUCCC